AUGUAUACCGGGUACAUGCGACGAUCUCCUCCACUGUUUGGCAUUACCAGGAGACACGCGCUAACCCCGUUUCACAAAUCUCCUCCACUCUCUCGCCGUAGAUCACACCUCCUGUCUCAAGAGGUGUCAAUUUCCCUUUUAAUGUCAAGUUGUAGCCGGUUGGCUACUGAUUCGUCGAAAUCGGAGUUGUCCCACUCCGCUCAAAGAUGCACGGAUGGCAUCUUACAAAUGGGCGAGUUUCGAGGUUGUUGCGGCCGGAUCGUUCCCUAUGAGGUGAUCAUGACCAAGGAGGUAAUUAUUCCCGGUGGGGCGAUCAUUGCCGAUGAAGACGAUUGCAACAACAGAAAUACGCCCCGCGACCUUUGA